rfam:Oryza rufipogon genomic scaffold, chr02
AAAAAAGCAAACCGUGGGUUCUCGUGCCAAUGUUUGACUGUCCGUCUUAUAUGAAUUUUUUUUAUAAUUAGUAUUUUCAUUGUUGUUAGAUGAUAAAACAUGAUUAAUACUUUAUGCUUUUUUAAUUUUUUUUUUUAAUUUUUUUCAUAAUUUUUUCAAAUAAGACGGACAGUCAAACAUUGGACACGGAAACUGGGGUUUGUCUUUUUU